rnacentral:rRNA from 1 species
UGGGGAAUAUUGGACAAUGGGCGAAAGCCUGAUCCAGCCAUGCCGCGUGUGUGAAGAAGGUCUUCGGAUUGUAAAGCACUUUAAGUUGGGAGGAAGGGCAGUAAGCGAAUACCUUGCUGUUUUGACGUUACCGACAGAAUAAGCACCGGCUAACUCUGUGCCAGCAGCCGCGGUAAUACAGAGGGUGCAAGCGUUAAUCGGAAUUACUGGGCGUAAAGCGCGCGUAGGUGGUUCGUUAAGUUGAAUGUGAAAGCCCCGGGCUCAACCUGGGAAAUGCAUCCAAAACUGGCGAGCGAGAGUAAGGCAGAGGGUGGUGGAAUUUCCUGUGUAGCGGUGAAAUGCGUAGAUAUAGGCAGGAACACCAGUGGCGAAGGCGACCACCUGGGCUCAUACUGAAACUGAGGUGCGAAAGCGUGGGGAGCAAACAGG